UACACUUAAUGCAAUACGUAAAAACAAGAAAAAAAGCAAAAUAAACAGAAACUCAUGAAAUGGAAUGAUAUUUUGCAGAUAAUGAGAAGUGCUCAAAUAAAUCCAAGGGAACUGUUGUAUCGGAAACAAAAACCUUUUAGGAAUUUAUCGGUAUUUUUAUUAAAUAUUUGAAGAUGUACAAAGAAUUUUUCCUGAUUCUGAUUAUCAUGGCUGCUGUAAAUAGCCAGACAUGCAGCCGACAUAAAUGUGAUACCGUCAGAUGCAACACAGACGAUCCUGUCUGUGGACCCGAUGAAGUAAUCGUGCAGCCUGAUUAUAAAUGCAUAUGUUGCAAGAAAUGCCAAAAGAAACCGGCAGAUUAAUUUUCAGCACUUAGAUCUCCAACUCAUUUGAAAACUUAGCUGUUCGAUAUUCUUUCGAUUUCCAAAUUUAUGAUGAAGAAAUAAUAUUGCUACUUUGAAACUCAAGAUUGUUAAUUAUAUUUUAUAUAACGUUAUAAACAUAGCAAUGAUUUUACUUUUGAAAAAGUAAAAUAUUCAUUUUA